UACGUAGGGGGCCAGCGUUGUCCGGAUUCAUUGGGCGUAAAGCGCGUGUAGGCGGCCAGGUAGGUCCGAUGUGAAAUCUGGAGGCUCAACCUCCAGCGGUCAUUGGAAACCAUCUGGCUAGAGUCCGGAAGAGGAAAGUGGAAUUCCUGGUGUAGCGGUGAAAUGCGCAGAUAUCAGGAAGAACACCAAUGGCGAAAGCAGCUUUCUGGGACGGUACUGACGCUGAGACGCGAAAGCGUGGGGAGCGAACAGG
rnacentral:rRNA from 1 species